rnacentral:rRNA from 1 species
GUUUCCCGUAAGGCGCCGAAUGAGUCAUUAAAAAAUUAACAUCAUCCGAUCCCUAGUCGGCAUAGUUUAUGGUUAAGACUACGACGGUAUCUGAUCGUCUUCGAUCCCCUAACUUUCGUUCUUGAUUAAUGAAAACAUCCUUGGCAAAUGCUUUCGCAGUAGUUAGUCUUCAAUAAAUCCAAGAAUUUCACCUCUGACAAUUGAAUACUAAUGCCCCCAACUAUCCCUAUUAAUCAUUACGUCGAUCCUAGAAACCAACAAAAUAGAAUCAAACGUCCUAUUUCAUUAUUCCAUGCUAAUGUAUUCAAGCGCGAGCCUGCUUUAAACACUCUAAUUUUUUCAAAGUAACAGUCCUGAUUCCCCAAGACACCAAACUAAUGACAUCAAGGUUCUUCAGAAGGGAGAAACCAAUUAUAUCAGUACGUACAAAAGCACGACCGACAUAUUGGUCCCGAAAUUCAACUACGAGCUUUUUAACUGCAGCAACUUUAAUAUACGCUAUUGGAGCUGGAAUUACCGCGGCUGCUGGCACCAGACUUGCCCUCCAAA